GAGCUCUGGAGGUGGGAGCAGCUGUGGCAGGAGAGGCUCCAUCUCUGGAGGUGGAGGACAGGGAAGCUCCAGUGGUGGAGGCUCCAUCUCUGGAGGUGGGCAGAGCUCGGGUGGCCAUGGAUCCAGCUCUGGAGGUGGGAGCAGCUGUGGCAGGAGAGGGUCCAUCUCUGGAGGUGGGCAGAGCUCGGGUGGUCACGGAUCCAGCUCUGGAGGUGGAGGAGGGGGAAUGAGCUCUGGUGGGUGCAUUGGUGGGGGAGAAGGAGGCUCAGGGUAUGGAGGAGGCUCUGGAUAUGGAGGGAGCUCUGGAUAUGGAGGAAGCUCUGGAUAUGGAGGAGGUUCUGGAUAUGGAGGGAGCUCAGGCAGGAGAGGCUCCAUCUCUGGAGGAGGAAGCUCAGGUCAUGGAGGAUCCAGUUAUGGCAGUGGUGGAUCCAUCUGUGGAGGAGAAGGAGGCUCAGGGUAUGGAGGGAGCUCUGGAUAUGGAGG